CCUACGGGAGGCAGCAGUGAGGAAUAUUGGUCAAUGGGCGCGAGCCUGAACCAGCCAAGUCGCGUGAGGGAGGACGGCCCUACGGGUUGUAAACCUCUUUUGCCGGGGAGCAACGGGCGUCACGUGUGGCGCCACUGAGAGUACCCGGAGAAAAAGCAUCGGCUAACUCCGGGCCAGCAGCCGCGGUAAUACGGAGGAUGGGAGCGUUAUCCGGAUUGAUUGGGUUUAAGGGGUGCGUAGGCGGAUCGUUAAGUCAGGGGUCAAAUUGCGGGGCUCAACCCCUUCCCGCCAUUGAAACUGGCGCUCUUGAGUGGAAGAGAAGUAUGCGGAAUGCGUGGUGUAGCGGUGAAAUGCAUAGAUAUCACGCAGAACCCCGAUUGCGAAGGCAGCAUGCCGGCUUCCGACUGACGCUGAAGCACGAAAGCGUGGGGAUCGAACAGGAUUAGAUACCCUGGUAGUC
rnacentral:rRNA from 1 species